UAAGUAUAACCGAUUCUACCGUCAUUCACUUUGUCGUCAUUCGCAAGGGACUACCACCUGAAACACGACAAAAUAAAGAAGCUUCGAUUCAAAGGUAAUCAUCCAAACAUUCCUAUUCAAAAGCAUUCAUGCAAUAUUCAUACAUACAUUUGGUGGCACUUAUACUCUCCUAAACAUCAUCCUCGAAUAUUCAUUAUGACUAAUCAAGGAAACGUUUCAUGUUGGUAAGCGUCCUAGCAAACCCUAAAAUAAGAUUCAAACUUAACAAGUUGCUGAAAUUUUAUCAAGGAUGACACUAAAUGAUAACAUUUCAAAAAAAUGAGUAAUUUUUAAAAAAGUUCAGAUUUCUAAAACUCAUCAUAACAACAAAAUAGUCCAGAUUUUAGUUCAAGCAACCUAAUCAAACAAAACUAUCAUCAUCAACUAAGUAAAAUCAGAAUGAGUGAAGGGUUUAACCUUUUACCUUUCUCGUCCUUUGCUCCAGCGAGUCCGUCUUCGAAGGGAACUUUUUCUACCUUCCUCCGUAUCUCCUUUCGUUGUGCGUUGUGGGAGGAGAGAGGAGGCGGAGGCGGCGGCGCCCGUCGCCGUCGGCGAGACCAGAAAAAAUAGGGGGAGGAGAGGCAAAAAAAGAAGAAAAAGGGUAAAAAAAAGUAGCGGCGGCGGUCGUGGUGGCGGCGGCGGUGGUAGAGAAGAAAGAGAGAAGAGAGGAGAAGGGUUAGAGAGAAGGGAGAGGGUUUCAGAGAGAAGUCAGAGAGAUUUGAGAGGAGAGGAGGAGAGGAGAGAGAGUGAGGGCUGU
rnacentral:lncRNA from 1 species